rnacentral:lncRNA from 1 species
GAGGGAGGCAGAGGGGGAAAACUUUCUUAUUUAUUUCUAAUUUAUUUUUAUUCCAAUUAUGUUGACUUAUCUUUCUUUCCACAUUUCAUACAUUAUGUUUCUUACCAAAAUCUACAAUGGUGGAAUCUAUUCUCUGUAAACUUUCAAGCAAAGCAAAGUAAGAAGUUGGUCUAGAAUUCCCACUCCUGAACCCCUUGCCUGUCAGGCCUCUGAGCCCAAACUAAGCCAUCAUAUCCCCUGUGACCAGCAUGUGUACAUCCAGAUGUCCUGAAGCAACUGAAGAUCCACAAAAGAAGUGAAAAUAGCCUUAACUGAUGACAUUCCACCACUGUGAUUUGUUCCUGACCCACCCUAACUGAUACGAUAUAUUCUUCCCCGCCCUUAAGAAGGUAAUAGCUGAUAAUACCUAUUCCUGUAUAAGUCUGAAUUAUUGGUGACAUCUGAGCAGUAACCAUAGUGAUAUGGGGGAAAGAACCACGUGGAUUUUGAGGCAUGUUUGGGGAACAUAGGAGAGUUUUGGCUGGGGAGAUUACAACUCAUAUUUUAAAGGAAUCAUCUGAUUGCUUUAUGAUGGAAUAACUGGAAUUAGACUUGCCCUUCUGAAGUAAACAACUAGAAAGCUGUACAACAGUCAUAAGUCAACUGUUUUCAAGCAUUGGAUAAAACAACACUGUGGUCUUUGCGGGAAGAAAAACACAUGAGGAAGUCAGGGACCCCAAACGGAGGGACUGGUUGAAGCCAUGGCAGAAGAACGUGGAUUGUGAAGAUUUCAUGGACAUUUAUUAGUUCCCCAAAUUAAUACUUUUAUAAUUUCUUAUGCCUAUCUUUACUGCAGUCUCUAAACAUAAAUUGUAAAGAUUUCAUGGACACUUAUCACUUCCCCAGUCAAUACCCUUGUGAUUUCCUAUGCCUGUCUUUACUUUAAUCUCUUAAUCCUGCCAGCUGAGGAGGAUGUGUAUCACCUCAGGACCCUGUAAUAAUUGCACAAAUUAUACAGCUUGUGUGUUUGAACAAUAUGAAAUGUGGGCACCUCGAAAAAAGAACAGGAUAACAGCAAUUGUUGAGGGAAUAAGAGAGAUAACCUUAAACUCUGACCGCCAGUAAGCCGGGCAGAACAGAGCCGUAUUUCUCUUCUUUCAAAAGCAAAUUGGAGAAAUAUCACUGAAUUCUUUUUCUCAGCAUGGAACAUCCCUGAGAAAGAGAAAGCACACUUUGGGGUAGGUGUCUGAACUGGCCCCCCUGGGCAUGGUUGUCUCUUAUGGUCAAGACUGCAGAGGUGAAAUAGACUCCAGUCUCCCAUAGCGCUCCCAGGCUUAUUAGGAAGAGGAAAUUCCCACCUAAUAAAUUUUUGUCAGACUGGUUGAUCUCAAAACUCUGUCUCCUGAUAAGAUGUUAUCAAUGAUAAUGGUGCCCGAAACUUCAUUAGCAAUUUUAAUUUCACCCCGGUCCUGUGGUCCUGUGAUCUCACCCUGCCUCCACUUGCCUUGUGAUAUUCUAUUACCUUGUAAAGUACUUGAUGUCUGUGACCCAUACCUAUUCGCACACUCCCUCCCCUUUUGAAAAUCCCUAAUAAAACCUCGCUGGCUUUUGUGGCUUUUGGGGCAUCAUGGAACCUACCGACAUGUGAUGUCUCCCCCAGAUGCCCGGCUUUAAAAUUUCUCUCUUUUGUACUCUGUCCCUUUAUUUCUCAAGCUGGCUGAUGCUUAGGGAAAAUAGAAAAGAACCUAUGUGAAUAUCAGGGCAGGUUCCCCAAUAAUCUACUAUUGAGAGAGGGGUUGGUAAAGACUGAAGAGCAAGAGGUGGCAGUUUUUGGUCUACUUUUCUACCCUUUUCCUGGGGCAUUAACCAUAUGACAAUGGAAGGAUAAAAAAAAAAUUUUAUCAUACCUUAGAAGCAACAUGGAAGUAGGUAUUUUCUGAGCAACAAGAAAACUCAGAGUGUCUACUGUUUGCUGUACUCUGAGUCCAGACCAUGGUGAAAGCCAUUUCCAACUGUUACGUCUCCAAUCAGCAAUGGAAAUAGAGGGACCCAAGUGACUGAACACGGAGCAUAGUGCUGAGUGUCAGAAGAGGUGAGACCCUCAAUGGGACAGAAAAUAAUUUAAGUGGGCUGAGAGUUAACAGGGGAAAGACAAGAAGGUCCAACAAAGAAAGGGAUUUUGCUUACCGGGGAGUGAUAGCCAAGUAGAUUUUGAAGGUUAAAUGAGAUAAUUUAUGUCAUAAGCUCUCUGGAGAAAAUGAGUCUGAUGGGGAUGGAGGUGUGGGACUGUUUUAUGGUGUGGAAAAUUACCCCCAAGUCUCAAACACCCUGUGAAUUCUGCAGAGAGAGUACUUUGUCAUUUGAACAUGAAAUAAAGGAUUUCUUU